rnacentral:rRNA from 1 species
AUUGAACGCUGGCGGCAUGCCUUACACAUGCAAGUCGAACGGCAGCACGGGUGCUUGCACCUGGUGGCGAGUGGCGAACGGGUGAGUAAUACAUCGGAACAUGUCCUGUAGUGGGGGAUAGCCCGGCGAAAGCCGGAUUACUACCGCAUACGAUCCACGGAUGAAAGCGGGGGACCUUCGGGCCUCGCGCUGUUGGGUUGGCCGAUGGCUGAUUAGCUAGUUGGUGGGGUAAAGGCCUACCAAGGCGACGAUCAGUAGCUGGUCCGAGAGGACGACCAGCCACACUGGGACUGAGACACGGCCCAGACUCCUACGGGAGGCAGCAGUGGGGAAUUUUGGACAAUGGGCGAAAGCCUGAUCCAGCAAUGCCGCGUGUGUGAAGAAGGCCUUCGGGUUGUAAAGCACUUUUGUCCGGAAAGAAAUCCUUGGCUCUAAUACAGUCGGGGGAUGACGGUACCGGAAGAAUAAGCACCGGCUAACUACGUG